rnacentral:lncRNA from 1 species
GGAGAUUAGAAGCGGGAAUAGAAAGGGGUGAAUAAAUAAUGAAGGCUCGAAAUCAAAUCAUUGUUAAGGAGGGACAAUCAUAAGAUAACUGUUGUUUAGUCGCAAGGACUCGAUUAACUCGUAAGUUCGGAUGAACCCGACUUAGCUUAAAGACAUAUUACUUGAGAGUAUGCAGCGGAAUAACAUAAUCUGAUUACAUGUAUGAAGACAUGUAUCCAAGAGUCCAUUUAUUAAACUUAUGACAAAAGCUCCGCUCAUCACUUCAUCUUCAUCAGCCAUUGCUCAACCUGCACAUUUAGAAAUAUAUGCAGGGCUGAGUACAAAAGUACUCAGUGGGCACGUAUGCCUAAGUAUAAAAAUACAUGCUUCAAAAACUGUAAAUUGUCAUGCCAUCAUAAACAGUACAGCAAGGGAGUUUUUCGCUAAAAGGCCCAAGCUUACUAAAUUCAUUUGUGAUUCUUAAAGUUGGUCUGCAGACUAAGUUCUCUUGUAAUCUAUCAUAUCUGGAACUGUGUGCCGGAGAGGUGGCCACCUCUCACGGUCACUUGACCGGCCAACCCGCUAGAUGACUCACGGUCAUUGGUGUACACUAGCCCUGGCAGGAUAGCUAUCAACUGCUCAGGACCCGAAUUCGAUUGC